ensembl:lncRNA
CUUGCUGGAAACAAGCUCUGCUAGACAAUGAAUGAAUCUAACUUCAGUAACAGUUUUUAAUGCAGAUGAACUAAAACAUCACCCUGAAAAAAAAUAUGCUGUUUGUUUGGGCUUUGUUCUGUUGUCUUGCAUAUUUCAGUUUUGGGAAUGUCAUCACACCAGUCCAAACAGAGGUGUUUGGGACAGAGGGGGGCAAUAUAACUCUGUCCUAUAACUACUCCUCAGCUAUUAGUCUGCAGUGGUAUCGCCAAUAUCACUGUUCAGCCCCUGAAUACCUUUUAGUCAUAUUUCAUGCUACAGGGAAAGUUUCACAAAAGUCCAAAUUUGUAGAACUAGAUCCUCGAUUCUCUGUACAACUGAACGAAAAGAAAACCCAUGUGGAUCUGGAGGAAUAAAACAGAAGGAGGUCUAAAUAAACCACACCCACACUGCAGUUUCACAACAAGAUACUACAACCAUACAUUUACCUUUACUUCAUUUCAUAAAGCAAGUUUGUAAACCUUCCCAACAUGGAGAGAUGCUUUCUUCUGAUUCUAAUAUCCACUCCAGGUAUUUUAUCUGACAGCAUUCAACCAAAAGACAAGGAAACUAAUAUUUAUAGAAAAGAAGAAGAGCAUGUAACACUGAGCUGCACUUAUGAUACAGGCAGCAGUGAUGUCGAUCUGUACUGGUACAGACAAUAUCCGAACAGAGAACCAGAAUUUUUACUGUGGAAAGGUGCCCGAUCACGGAGCAGUUAUGAAUAUAUACCAGACACUCAGUUUCAGAUGACUACAUCACAAACAUCCACUGAACUCUCUAUUAAGAGUGUAACUCUGGCAGAUUCGGCUCUCUAUUAUUGUGCUCUAAGAGUAGGAGCCCAGUGAUACAAAAUGCCUGAGAAGCUUUACAAAAACUCACAUUUAGUUUUUGCCUUAAAAAAUAAUCAAAUAAAAAU